rnacentral:misc_RNA from 1 species
GAAGGUGGAAUCACACUUCUCCAAAGAAUUGGAAUUGGGAUUGUAUUGUCCAUUCUAGCCAUGGUAGUUUCUGGAUUGGUUGAAAGGGAAAGAAGGGCUGUAGCCAUUUCGCAUCCUGAUGGUGCUCACAUGUCAGUUCUGUGGCUUGCUCCUCAGCUCGUCAUAAUGGGGUUAUGUGAAGCAUUCAAUUUUAUCGGACAAAUAGAAUUCUACAAUAAGGAGUUCCCUGAACACAUGAGAAGUGUGGCUAAUUCUCU